AUUGAACGCUGGCGGCAGGCCUAACACAUGCAAGUCGAGCGGAUGAAGGGAGCUUGCUCCUGGAUUCAGCGGCGGACGGGUGUGUAAUGCCUAGGAAUCUGCCUGGUAGUGGGGGAUAACGUCCGGAAACGGGCGCUAAUACCGCAUACGUCCUGAGGGAGAAAGUGGGGGAUCUUCGGACCUCACGCUAUCAGAUGAGCCUAGGUCGGAUUAGCUAGUUGGUGGGGUAAAGGCCUACCAAGGCGACGAUCCGUAACUGGUCUGAGAGGAUGAUCAGUCACACUGGAGCUGAGACACGGUCCAGACUCCUACGGGAGGCAGCAGUGGGGAAUAUUGGACAAUGGGCGAAAGCCUGAUCCAGCCAUGCCGCGUGUGUGGAGAAGGCCUUCGGAUUGUAAAGCACUUUAAGUUGGGAGGAAGGGCAGUAGGUUGAUACCUUGCUGUUUUGACGUUACCAACAGAAUAAGCACCGGCUAACUUCGUG
rnacentral:rRNA from 1 species